UUGAUUUAUAGUAUCUAUUUUUUUGAAUAAAAUAAAAUAAAAUAUCGAAAAUAUUAUUAGUACUAUAAAAUUACAUCGUCCUUCCACGCAUGCUACAAAAUUACUAUAAAUACACCCACCAUUCUCAUUAGUCAUUAUUCUCUCCCUCACCACACAAUCACAUAUAAUCCCCUUUCCUUCACCACAAACACACUCAUAUUGGCUUGUGAUUUCUCCAAUUUCAUGCAUACAGUUUUAAUUUUUUGAAGUACGGCGCCAUCAAGUAUGGAGAGUCCGUAAAGCUCAGGAGGGAUAGCGCCACCACCAAUUUCGAUUCUCGGUCCUCAUUGGCGCUAUCCAUCCAGAGUUUCAUGGUUUCUUUUCCCUACUCGAAUCUAAUGUACAUUGACCAUAAAACAUGAUUUUGUAGUCUGAUAGGAUAUACGAAGGCAUUUGCAGGAGCUGCUGCUGGCAGGUGGACCCCCCUUGGGAGUGAGCAAUGAAUUGUAUUAGUACACAUGCGAUUGUGUCUUUCCGAAACCAACUGUGUUACCCAUUCGGACAAUAAUGAAUUGUAGUAGUACUCUUUUUAACGAGCGUUCAUCUAAUGUAAUUAUGAAUUAAUAGUGUAUUUAAAGGCACUAAUAAUUUUGAAGUUGUGUAGUACGAGUAUGUUCGAACUUGUAAAGCCAUUUACUGGAAUUGAUUAAAUAACGAACAUUUUAAUUUGGAGUUUA